rnacentral:lncRNA from 1 species
CUACUAUAUAUGAGUUUAAUAACUAGCUACACAAGUUAGCAAAAUAAUAUUGUAGUUCGUCUUACUGGGAAAGACAUACAUGUGCAUAAUGAGAAUAAACCUUAAAACAAGCAACAAAUAAAACUAGUCCUCUUCGUCUGCAUUGUCAUCUUCGAAAAGAGUUGAGUACGAGGUAGCGUUUGAAAGUGACCUGCCUUUACAUUUCUCUAAAUGUGCAGCAUAUCGAGACGCAGCUAUUUCACGCUUGCACAUUAAACAAGAAUAAUAAGGGACAUUUGAAGGAGUUUGGACGCUAUUACCAUAUAUAUCGUAGCCUGGCUUGGUACAAUACUGCCGACAAUGCUUGUUACAGGCCGGACAUUUUUGAAGAGAUAAUUUAGCAUUCUUGUGGACUGUUUGGGUCAAUUCAUGGGUGUAGUCUUUCAACAAAUUCUCAAAUAUAGUGCAAGACUGAUUGAAAUUUGAAGUUAGUGAAAAAGUUGUACAAGUGUUAAAUUCAGCCACCUAUUGACAAUUGUUUUUCUAUUAAUCUUCCUUUUGUCUUUAAAGUACUACAAUUUGACAUGUUAAAUAAACCGCGAUCGAUUAAAUGAUACAUGCUUUCAUAAACAAGCAAAUCUUUUUUUGGCGAGGAAGUUUAAUUUUGAAAGGAAAAACAAUUACACAUAGAGAAAUCAGGUACUUACAAUACCGGCAAGAGAAGCAGGCUGCAUCUUUAAACCAUUCUUUGGGAAUCAAAAGUUGAGUAUUCCAAGCAAGUUAGUAUUGUUACAAAGCCGGUGAUUCCAAAAUUUCAAACAAUGAGGAAAAAGAUGCAACUGAUCCGUAUGGGAAAUUGAGAUUUACAGAACGGAAGUGCUUCAAAUUGAUGUCUUUAUUAUAAAAAUUAUUAGGCUCAAAUACUUGGUGUUACAUCUUUAGCUUGCGUAGGAGCUGACUUUAUUUGCUAAUAGUGAGUGUUGAUAUAAUUUGCUAAUUUCAUACUUCUCUGACUCCAAGAGCAAUGCAAAAUACACACGCUCAUGAAAUAAAAUAUCAGUAAUCCACUUGCGCAAUUGGAAAAAACAACGCCUACAACAUAGUACCUAAGUUUCUCCCUUUUACAAUUCAUCAAAUCAUACAUUCUUCAGCUCGACUAAGGAUAAAUUGUAUUCAUUAAAUACAUAAAAUGUUAAAAGUCAUAAAAUAAUUCGCUAGUAAAUUAAGCAAAAGGCUAAACUGUAUGCCGGGAUGCCAUCAAUCUCAAAUGAUUUAAAUAAUACAAUACAGGCAAGGAUAUUAGAAGUAGUUUUUGAUUAUAGACAAAGUGUUUGUUACCAAAAAAGAGCCAAAUUUAGAUAUGGCAUUUUGGCAACCCGAGCAAUAAAUAAAGACAUAGCUUCGAAUGAUGAAAAAUGAAGGAUAUACAAGCGAAAUGCCGAAGAAAAAAAGAAAUAGACACAAACAAAAAGGCGAUGCGAUGUUGGGGUAACUACGAUUGAAUCGACACAUCGUCAUUAUUGGCAUUAGAGGGUGGGAUAUUUAAAUUUCUGGUUGAGAUAUUGGAUAACGAGGAUGAGUAGUUGGGUACUGAAGAAAGAGCUCGUUGCACACUUGAAUUUGACCUUUGACCAUUAAGGGAAGAUAUCGGAACAGAUUGUGUAGAUACUGGAGAUUCAUUUGGAGCAUUAUUGAAAAGCCACAAAUAUAUUUUCCCAUCUUCAGACCCACUGACUACCUCACAGUCUCCAAGAGCAACCGAGGUUACAGGCUCCGAGUGAUUCUUCAACGUGUGAACACAUUCACAAGCCUCCCAAACUUUAACAACACCAUCAUGAGCUCCCGAGAUUAAACGAAGGUGAUCUGCCGCAAUUUCCCAUACACCUUCAAUGUGUCCAAACAAUGUAUGAACACAUUUUUUCUUCUCGAUGUCCCAUUGCUUUAUUGUGCCGUCCAAUGAGCAAGAAAACAAUCGCGAAUCAGCAAGAGCUAAACUCUGGACAGGGCCAAUAUGAGCACUGAAAGUAUGAAGACACGUGUUUGUUUCCAAAGACCAAAUCUUGAUGGUGGAAUCGUCGGAACCGGAAAGAACAAGUCCACGAUCUCUAAUUAUGCGGACAGAAUUGACAGGUCCUGUGUGACCGCGUAAAGUGAUACGCUUACCGCCAGAAAAGUGCCACAGCUUAACUGUACAAUCUGCGCUUCCAGAAACAAGUAGCGUAGAGUCAAACGUUAAGCAUAAAACACUAUCCGUAUGACCAUGUAAAAUAGAAAUGCAUUCAGAGGUUCUGUAGUUCCAUAUACGAAUAGUUUUGUCCAUUGAACCGCUGAUAAGUUUACACUGAUCGAAUUGAAGGCACGUAACACCACUGCUAUGACCUUCUAAUAGAGCAACUUGUUGAAAGGUAGCAAGAUUCCAUAAUCGUAUAGUGGCAUCAUAACUGCCGCUAGCAAGAAUGUUCCUUACAAGUUGUAGACACAUAACACCGUCAGAGUGGCCACUGAGAACAACCUGGCGACAACGACCAUGCCGCCAGUUGCAUUCAACUCUACAACGUUCAGCAUAUACUUCUUUCCAUGGUCUGGUUUUAAAGGGAAGAAAGAAUUUGGAAUCGGAGUUCGGAGAAGGUGGUUUGACAGAAGAAAUAGUCUCUUCAUUACUCGACGUCGGAUAAUCGUCCAGCUUUGCUUUUUUGACGGGUGAAGAUUCAUGAGCCUGAUCGACGCCUCUUUUUGUAAGUCGUUCAUAACGUUUUUGUA